rnacentral:rRNA from 2 species
AGAGUUUUAUCCUGGCUCAGGACGAACGCUGGCGGCGUGCCUAAUACAUGCAAGUCGAACGAACUCUGGUAUUGAUUGGUGCUUGCAUCAUGAUUUACAUUUGAGUGAGUGGCGAACUGGUGAGUAACACGUGGGAAACCUGCCCAGAAGCGGGGGAUAACACCUGGAAACAGAUGCUAAUACCGCAUAACAACUUGGACCGCAUGGUCCGAGUUUGAAAGAUGGCUUCGGCUAUCACUUUUGGAUGGUCCCGCGGCGUAUUAGCUAGAUGGUGGGGUAACGGCUCACCAUGGCAAUGAUACGUAGCCGACCUGAGAGGGUAAUCGGCCACAUUGGGACUGAGACACGGCCCAAACUCCUACGGGAGGCAGCAGUAGGGAAUCUUCCACAAUGGACGAAAGUCUGAUGGAGCAACGCCGCGUGAGUGAAGAAGGGUUUCGGCUCGUAAAACUCUGUUGUUAAAGAAGAACAUAUCUGAGAGUAACUGUUCAGGUAUUGACGGUAUUUAACCAGAAAGCCACGGCUAACUACGUGCCAGCAGCC